CCUACGGGAGGCAGCAGUGGGGAAUUUUUCGCAAUGGGGGCAACCCUGACGAAGCAAUGCCGCGUGGAUGAAGAAGGCCUUCGGGUUGUAAAGUCCUUUCGUGGGGGACGAAAAGGCGGAUCCGAAUACGGUCUGCUAUUGACGUGAACCCAAGAAGAAGCACCGGCUAACUCCGUGCCAGCAGCCGCGGUAAUACGGAGGGUGCGAGCGUUAAUCGGAAUUACUGGGCGUAAAGGGCGCGUAGGCGGUGGGUUACGUCUGCCGUGAAAUCCCCGGGCUCAACCUGGGAAUGGCGGUGGAAACGGGCUGACUGGAGUAUGGGAGAGGGUGAUGGAAUUCCAGGUGUAGCGGUGAAAUGCGUAGAGAUCUGGAGGAACACCAGUGGCGAAGGCGGUCACCUGGCCCAAUACUGACGCUGAGGCGCGAAAGCGUGGGGAGCAAACAGGAUUAGAUACCCUGGUAGUCCACGCCCUAAACGAUGGAUACUGGAUGUUUGGCGCCUUAGGUGCUGAGUGUCGUAGCUAACGCGAUAAGUAUCCCGCCUGGGAAGUACGGCCGCAAGGUUAAAACUCAAAGGAAUUGACGGGG
rnacentral:rRNA from 1 species